CCCGGGUCAAGGCCGGGGCGGGUCCUUCUUCAGCCUGGAGGCCGGCUUGGCGGCCAGGCGCAAGUUCGCGACGUCACCCGAUCCGACCCUGGUACCCGGAGCGGCCCUGGCGCGGCUGUCGGCUGGCACCAGCUCCCUGCAGGAAGAGUGGAGAGGUUGUUCCCGGCGGGGAGCGGGUACCGGCCGCAUCCCGGCCGGACCAGGGAGCCUGGGCGCCGGCAGUUCGGCUGCUGGUGCGCCGCUCUUUCGGGGGCGCGAGGAAGGAAUUGGAGGGGUCCGCCCCGCGCCUGGGUCCUCUCUGAGUCUCGCCUCAUUCGAGGCACGGGUUUUUCUACAAAAGGAAUGUAUGGUUUGUGGUUGCGCUAGCUCAUCACUUCAAAGAACCAAAGAAGGAAAAGAGAGGGGGCGGGAAGAAAGAUGAGCGAGCUGAGGGGCAGAGAGGAGGAGUAAAGAGAGGCCGGGCAGAGGAGCUCCUUGCAGUUUCGGGCUGUGAGAGCCGAAGCUCACUGAGAUGUGACGCUUCCUGUUGGGUUGAGAACGCACGAAGUCUACGAUGCUUAGACAAAAAAAUCUCAGAAACUAAGAAAUCAUUCGAAUCCAGUUCCUUGUUUAUUCACAAUUAAAACCUUAGUGAUAAAACAGAGGCGACGCGCGGACAGCUCCUGGAAGCAGAAACACGAUUGGGGUGUUUAAUGUGUGUUUUUGGUCUUCUCCCCAAGCAAUGGAAACAGAGUUGCUGCUUCAGUGGUAGUAGUACUUGCAAUUCAAGUAACACUAACUUAAAAUCUACUUUAGACACAGUGGGCGAUAGUAUGAAAGAACCAAGAAGGAUUUCGGCUGUCCUGGAGCUGAUAAUGCUGCAAACAAGGUGAGGGUGCAUACAGUAAGUAGCUGCAAAGCCAUGAGGAUCAUAGAAAAUUUCCCAAGUCCAUGAGGAAAGAAAAAUAUACAGGCAAAAAUUUACAUACAAAUCAGGGCUUUAUUUAUUGUUUCAUCAGUUGAUUAGACUUAAGAAAGUAAUGAAGAAAAUGUCAAAAUAAUGCAGAAUAAACUUAAAAGUGUGUGGUGCUAAUAUCCAUUACAUUGGGAAUAGCCCCCCAAAUUGAGAAAAUAUUAUUUCAGUACAUAUUAGAAAACUAUUUUCUGACUCAGGAAAAAUCUCACUCACAUCAUUGAUGAACAAUAUAUCUAGUGCUAAAACUAGGUUUUAAUUUAAUGACUAUAGCCUGUACUACACUCAUUAUAUAAUAGGGUGACAAAUACUUUAAUAAUAGAUUACAUAUUACAUCCAAUAACAAUACGUUAUUGAUUUAUUAGAAAAUAAAUGGGUAUAUAACUCCAUUUGUCAAAUCAGUUCAGCCGGAACCAUAGGUUGGCUAUGGAUUGCAAAAGUUCUGCAAAAAUCAAUGAAAGCAGUCUGUAGGAACCAAUAGUAAAAUUUACAAAUAGUAAAUUGUGUGUAACAAUCUUUUAUAUCAGAAAAAUUUAUAAUAAAUAUGUAUGUAUAUAAAUGCAUGCGUUUUUCUUUAAGAG
rnacentral:lncRNA from 10 species